GACGAACGCUGGCGGCGUGCUUAACACAUGCAAGUCGAACGGAAAGGCCCCUUUGGGGGUACUCGAGUGGCGAACGGGUGAGUAACACGUGAGUAACCUGCCCUUGUCUUCGGGAUAACUUCAGGAAACUGGGGCUAAUACCGGAUAGGAAUCCUUGCUGCAUGGUGGGGGUUGGAAAGCUUCGGCGGUUUUGGAUGGACUCGCGGCUUAUCAGCUUGUUGGUGGGGUAGUGGCUUACCAAGGCUUUGACGGGUAGCCGGCCUGAGAGGGCGACCGGCCACAAUGGGACUGAGAGACGGCCCAGACUCCUACGGGAGGCAACAGUGGGGAAUAUUGCACAAUGGGCGGAAGCCUGAUGCAGCAACGCCGCGUGCGGGAUGACGGCCUUCGGGUUGUAAAACGCUUUCAGCAGGGGAGAAGCUUGUGGUGACGGUACCUGCAGAAGAAGCACCGGCUAACUACGUG
rnacentral:rRNA from 1 species